UGGAAUCCUCGGUAGGCGAGGCUCCCGCGUUGCACACAGGCCACUGCCCAAAAGCAUCCAGAGAUGCGGUUAUGGGUAGAACAGGCACUCCCGGAUUAAGGGUUUACCUAAGGUGGCUGAGGCGAUUACGCCUCUUACGGCACGCGGUGCUGAAGCUUGAAUGAGUGGGGAAGAAG
rnacentral:sRNA from 1 species